rnacentral:rRNA from 1 species
AAUAUUGGACAAUGGGGGCAACCCUGAUCCAGCCAUGCCGCGUGCGUGAAGAAGGUCUUCGUCUUGUAAAGCACUUUAAGUUGGGAGGAAGGGCAGUAAGUUAAUACCUUGCUGUUUUGACGUUACCGACAGAAUAAGCACCGUCUAACUCUGUGCCUGCAGCCGCGGUAAUACAGAGGGUGCAAGCGUUAAUCGGAAUUACUGGGCGUAAAGCGCGCGUAGGUGAUUUGACAAGUUGGAAGUGAAAGCCCCGGGCUCAACCUGGGAACUGCUUUCAAAACUGGCAAGCUAGAGUAUGGCAGAGGGUGGUGGAAUUUCCUGUGUAGCGGUGAAAUGCGUAGAUAUAGGAAGGAACACCAGUGGCGAAGGCGACCACCUGGGCUAAUACUGACACUGAGGUGCGAAAGCGUGGGGAGAAAAC